UGGGGAAUAUUGCACAAUGGGCGCAAGCCUGAUGCAGCCAUGCCGCGUGUAUGAAGAAGGCCUUCGGGUUGUAAAGUACUUUCAGCGGGGAGGAAGGCGAUAAGGUUAAUAACCUUGUCGAUUGACGUUACCCGCAGAAGAAGCACCGGCUAACUCCGUGCCAGCAGCCGCGGUAAUACGGAGGGUGCAAGCGUUAAUCGGAAUUACUGGGCGUAAAGCGCACGCAGGCGGUCUGUCAAGUCGGAUGUGAAAUCCCCGGGCUCAACCUGGGAACUGCAUGCGAAACUGGCAGGCUAGAGUCUUGUAGAGGGGGGUAGAAUUCCAGGUGUAGCGGUGAAAUGCGUAGAGAUCUGGAGGAAUACCGGUGGCGAAGGCGGCCCCCUGGACAAAGACUGACGCUCAGGUGCGAAAGCGUGGGGAGCAAACA
rnacentral:rRNA from 1 species